AUCAUAUGUGUAUAUAGACAGUUUUGUAGUGUAUAUAGUGUACAUAUAGUUAAAUGUGAGUCCGUCGGAUGGGGACGUUAAAUCCGAGGCCCCAUGUACAGGAACAUGUCACGCCCUGUGCAUGUAAAAGACCCCUCCUGCAGAUUUCGUUAAGAGUAGGCUCCUUGGGGCCGCUGCAGAGGCAAAAUUUGUUAGGGACCUUCGUACUUUAUUCUUUGUCAGUGACGCUCAAAAUUACAGACGUUAAUGAGGAAAAGGUUUAUGUUGGAAAC
rnacentral:lncRNA from 1 species